AUAAAUUGAGAUAAACCCUACAGGCAUGGUGUCCAAAAAUGCAGAAUUGAACACAAAGAACUUAAAUAGUCUUAUAGGCAGGUUUUCCUACCCUUGAGCAUACAUGAUCACCCCAACCGUUUUUCACUAGUCAUCCCCAAAUGUUUAUUACAGAUUAUACAAACCAUGAUACUGAAUUACAUUAGAAAGAAUGAAAGAAAAAGCUACAACCAUAGGAAAGCCUGAUUUGUCUUCCUAUCUGAGAUAUGCAAUGAACUGUAUUAUUGCCAAUGCCAUUGAUUUCAAAGCCUUUCUCAGACCUGGGGGUGUUAGAGAUCCCUAAGGGCCUCAAUAGGACCUCGGGUAGUGCUCACACCCAAGUUACAUAACCAGAAUAUAGAUGGGCGCAGUGUGGAAAUGCCAGCCCUCAUGUGUCCAAGUUUAGAGGGAGCUCUUCGGGCCCAUGGCAAGAUUCACAUGAGGAGGGCAGAACUAAAGUCUACGAAGAGAGUUAAAAUGCAGAAAUAGAGUUUCAAGAGCUGAGGGAAUGAAGGAGGGGGAUAAGGUGCUGGGAGACAAUCAUCAACAUUUCAGGGAGUUAAUAACUUCACACAAAGGGGGCAGGGGAUUGAGAAUCCACUGCGAGGAGCUUUCACACUUAAGUAUGGGUCAACUUUGGGCAUGUGCAAAAAUAGGAAGUGCUGACAUGCCUGUAAAUUAACCAGAAUACACAACAUAUAAGAGAAACAUGGAGGUUAUGAUCCUAUGAGGAUCAAGUUUGGGUCAUGCGUAUCAAUUACCAAUGUUGUCAUGCCCCAAACCGGCCACAAGUAUCAAGCACAUUGGGGUAGGGAUUUAGGAUUCACAUGUCAUAAUGCAUUGAUCCAUAACAGGAGAAGGAAAAUUACUGCAUGCCAAAUAAUGGUAUUAGGUUAAAUACAAUCAGCAGGCAGACAAGAAUACAAGAAAUAGUAAAUAAGCAUGUUGUUGUUGGUGUAUAAAACUUAAUUAGAACAUACCAGUAAGAAAUACAAAUGCAGAAACUAAGCAAGUUUUGCCAUAGCCUAGCCUUGGCUUUCAACCGAUUAGGUAAGGCUACAAUAUAGUAAUAACAGAGAAGAGAGAGAGGUUUAGUGUAGUGUGUGUGUUUGAACUCAAGUGUUUAUGCCUUGUGUUCGUGUCCUUUUAAAGAAAGGAAGUACAUGGUAUUUAUAGUUUUUUGAAAGCGAGUUAGAGAGAAGUGAUGAGUCACAAACAUGGAAACAAUCAUGAUUCGGAAUCAAUUAUACAAGUGAUUCCCUUCAAUUAAGGGAGCACUUGAUUAACGAGCAUUGACAGGUUUAAAACAAGGAAAGAAAUCAAUUUGUCACCAGGAUGACAGUUGCCAUAAGAGAAGUAGUAAAAUAUUUAGCUAGCAAUUGAGUCUUCAGAGAUACUCCAAUUUUGGAAAGGAUUCAGUGAAUAAAAAUAGAAAAAGAAAUCAGUUAACUUUAAUGGGCAAACGGAAUCAGAAUUUCACAAAGGAAAAGUUUGAAAUUAGUCACAAGUUUGAAAAUCAGUCAAAGAAGAAGACUCAACAUAUAAAUAGGGUGCAUAAACAUUAUACAUGCGAGGCCAAGCCUGUUGGCAAAAGGAAAUAGUAUACAAUAGUAGCAGUCAAAGAAAAUUCAAUAGAUAGCAACAUUCAAAGCAUGAUAAUAAGUUGAAUCGGUAGUGAAGAAACAUAGAAUACCAAAAGCAUGUGAAAAUCUCACAGUAGCAGGUGAGGAAAACCACUUUUGAAAGUUAGGGCUUCGAUCAUAAUCCAGUUUUAGAGAUGAUAGAAACCCAGAAUCAGAAGAAUUAUACAAAGGAAUAAGGGUAAAGAACUUCAAAUCGAGUUAUGCACUUAAACUAAUAGUCUCAGACCCAAAAACCAAAGGGUUUUCAGCAAUAGAAGAAUUUUAAAGGUGGAUAAACAGACAAAUCGGAUAAAAAGCGAACACACAUUCAUCUAAUGAACAGUCAAAGAAAUUAGGUCUUUAACAUGCGAACUCAGACUGAUGGAUAACUCGAGCAAACAUAGAAACCUAUGUCAAAAGUCAAACAAAAGUGUUUUUUUUUAAAUAACUUAACAGAACUCUAAUCGGAAAAAUAAGGAGUUUUUGAAAGCAGAGUUUCAAAAGAAACUUCGAGAAAAACAUUUAGAAGGUUAGAUCAAACAUAGAUCUGAAAUAGAUCUAAAAGAAAUCGAAAAGACUUUAGAGGUUACGGUUUCAAAAGAACCCCAGAUGACGAUAAAGGGUUUGAAAACCAUCGAUCUAAUCGAGAGAGUCAAAAGUCUGACUCGACUACCCAUGGUUGGCCAGGGAAAGGUCAGAGUCAACCCGAGAACAACAACGAACUAAAAUCGAACAAGGUCUGGACCAAAAUCUUUUAAGCUCUAGCCUCGAGACCAUAAGAAUCGCACACAUAGAAGCCAUGAGGGAUGAUACAGGUCUCCGAUAACCUUGGAAGUCAUAGAUUUGAGAGGUAUUAAGGCUGUAGUUUGAUAGAAUCGGCUAGGUUUGAGAGGAUUUGAGAGAUGAUUGAGAGAGAAGAGGGUUUCAGAGGCAGCUAUAGGUAAGAAAU
rnacentral:lncRNA from 1 species